GAUUAAGCCAUGCAUGUGUAAGUAUAAAUAGUUAACUUUGAAACUGCGAAUGGCUCAUUAUAUCAGUUAUAGUUAAUUUGAUGAAGAAUACUAAUUGGAUAACCGUAGUAAUUCUAGAGCUAAUACAUGUAUAAAGUCUUGUAGACUGCAUUUAUUAGAAUGAAAACCAUAGGUUUCGGCCUAUUCGUGAGUAAUAAUAACUAAUCAUAUCGUAUGCUUAUGUAACGAUGUGUCUUUCAAGUUUCUGCCCUAUCAGCUUUCGAUGGUAGUGUAUUGGACUACCAUG
rnacentral:rRNA from 1 species